GCUUCCUCUGCUUCAUAUCUGUAAGCAAUGGGAACCUAUCAUUAGGAAUACUUUAACAUUGUAAAUAUACUAGACAGGCAUCAGACUGCCCAGAGACUAACAGUGCAGUAUCUAGUAAUUUUUCAUGGAUUCAAAUUUUUUUUUUCCAGACUGAGACUGCUCCUUGGCAUGGAUUAGAGGCCACUGUAAAGAGCCCUUUUGAACUCCAGCUUCCUGCACUAAUCCUUUCCAAGAAUUACCCAAACCUUUCAAGGUAUCUCAUUGGAGCAUCCCUCUGGAAAAGAAGCUCUGGAAAUCAGAAGUGAUUGAGUGGAUGAGCUGCAACUGUAUUGCUUCUAGGCCCAGU